AAGGGGCUUGCUGACUUCACGCAGAAGCUGAGCUCAGCAUCAACGGACUUGGAGAAAGCUGAGGCCCAAAUUGGAGUGGAUGUGCAUAGUGCUCUUAACUCUGCUCUCACGGGCUAGAGUUAAAUAGCUCUAUGUGCUUUCUUGCAUCUUCUUCUCACCUUUUUGCUUCUUCAAAUCUGCCCCAUUGACGCUUAGAUUUGUGUCGAGCCCGGGAACUGCUCUGAAUAUUUUGUUUUUGAAUUCUCAUGUUGAAUAUGGGAUUGAAAUAAUAUCGGGAAUAGAUUUAUCAUCAUCCUGG
rnacentral:lncRNA from 1 species